rnacentral:ncRNA from 1 species
CGAUAGCGGAUAGUACCGUGAGGGAAUGGUGAAAAGUACCGCGGGAGCGGAGUGAAAUAGUACCUGAAACCGUGUGCCUACAAGCCGUGGGAGCGUCGGGAUGGAGCUUGCUCCAUCCUCGUGACUGCGUGCCUUUUGAAGAAUGAGCCUGCGAGUUUGCGGUGUGUUGCGAGGUUAACCCGUGUGGGGAAGCCGUAGCGAAAGCGAGUCCGAAUA